rnacentral:rRNA from 1 species
UACGUAGGGUGCAAGCGUUAUCCGGAAUUAUUGGGCGUAAAGAGCUCGUAGGCGGUUUGUCGCGUCUGCUGUGAAAACUGGAGGCUCAACCUCCAGCCUGCAGUGGGUACGGGCAAACUAGAGUGCGGUAGGGGAGACUGGAAUUCCUGGUGUAGCGGUGAAAUGCGCAGAUAUCAGGAGGAACACCGGUGGCGAAGGCGGGUCUCUGGGCCAUUACUGACGCUGAGGAGCGAAAGCGUGGGGAGCGAACAGG